rnacentral:sRNA from 1 species
ACAAAGGCUAGAAUGCCAAUGUCCGCCAUACUGUUCACAACGCCACGUAAAAACUCGUGACUGAACUCCGAUUUGAUCACCUAAAAAUCGCGUUCAAAAGCUUGGUAAGUUUCUAAAAUGAUAGAAUAUUACAAAUCCGUGAAAAAGACAUACACCAAGCGGUAAAUGAAUGUAUAACUUGUGGAAUUUUAUAAACAAAAAUCUUGCUUUCCAAAUAUUCAAAAUGGCGUCUGUAAGCUGACAGCAAAAUCGUUCUAAAAAUAGUUCCGGAAUUAAAUUCAGCAAAAAUUACAUUAAAUGCAUUUUUUAUUUUAUAUGAAAAUAUAAAUGUAUGAGUUCAGUUGUUUUUAAACAAUACUUCCACUACAGAUUAAUUUAAUGAUGAAUGAUUUCCCAUUUUGUUUAUGGUGACGCGUUAAUUCUGAUGGUGCAUGUCUGCAAAUCUAGGUCAAACACAUCGCAUUAAAGCACUGCGAAUAAAAACUUCUAAAAUCUAUUUCAUUUGAACAAAACAUUUCGAACUUUCAAAUUCCUACAGUAAAAUGCAUUUAAAUAAGGUUAUUCGCAGCUAACUUUAGGAAAGUAAAAAAAAUCAUUUAGCGUCGUAAUGGCUGCCUUUAUCGGGUACAACCAACCUGGCCUGACGCCGAGUGAAGUUGAUCAAGUCGAGAUUCAGUUUAUCGUGGAGGCGCUCAUGUUGGAGAUGCUUUAUUGUGUGUCAAAACGAUGGAAGAUUUAUUUUCAAAGUGAAAAUAAUGUGUAACUGAGUGAACAUUGGAUUUCUUAUAAUAAAGUACAUCAGUGCAUCCAACAUGGCG